UGGGAUGGACGUCAAAUCAUCAUGCCCCUUAUGUUCUGGGCUACACACGUGCUACAAUGGCCGGUACAGACGGACGCAAAGCCGCGAGGUGGAGCAAAUCCUAAAAGCCGGUCUCAGUUCGGAUUGCAGGCUGCAAUUCGCCUGCAUGAAGUCGGAAUCGCUAGUAAUCGCAGGUCAGCAUACUGCGGUCGAAUACGUUCCGGGCCUU
rnacentral:rRNA from 1 species